ensembl:snRNA U1 U1 spliceosomal RNA
AUACUUACCAGGAAGGGGAGAUACCAUGAUUAAGAAGGCGGUUCACCCAGGGCAAGGCUCAGCCAUUGCACUCCGGCUGUGCAAUGUUCCCCAAAUGUGUGAAUCUUCACUGCAUAAUUUCUGGUAGUGGGUGACUGCGUUCACGCUCUCCCCUG